rnacentral:rRNA from 1 species
CCUACGGGAGGCAGCAGUGGGGAAUUUUGGACAAUGGGGGAAACCCUGAUCCAGCCAUGCCGCGUGCGGGAAGAAGGCCUUCGGGUUGUAAACCGCUUUUGUCAGUGAAGAAAAGGCGCAGUCUAAUACAUUGCGGCCAUGACGGUACCUGAAGAAUAAGCACCGGCUAACUACGUGCCAGCAGCCGCGGUAAU